rnacentral:rRNA from 1 species
UACGUAGGGGGCAAGCGUUGUCCGGAAUCAUUGGGCGUAAAGAGCGCGUAGGCGGUCCGGUAAGUCCGCUCUGAAAAGUCCGGGGGCUCAACCCCGGGAGGCGGGCGGAUACUGUCGGGCUAGAGUCCGGAAGAGGCGAGUGGAAUUCCUGGUGUAGCAGUGAAAUUCGUAGAUAUUCGGAAGAACACCAGUGGCGAAGGCGACUCACUGGCCCGAUACUGACGCUGAGGCGCGAAAGCUAGGGGAGCAAACAGGG